AACUCUUCUGCUUGCAGAAGAUAGUAAAGUGGCGCACGGGUGAGUAACGCGUGGGUAAUCUACCUCUGAAAUUGGGGAUAACAUUGUGAAAGCGAUGCUAAUACCGAAUAAUAUCCCGAGAACUUAGGACUUUUGGGAUCAAAGGUGGCCUCUACAUGUAAGCUACUGUUUAGAGAUGAGCCCGCGUACCAUUAGCUUGUUGGUAGGGUAAUGGCCUACCAAGGCAACGAUGGUUAGCUGGUCUGAGAGGAUGAUCAGCCACACUGGAACUGACACACGGUCCAGACUCCUACGGGAGGCAGCAGUGAGGAAUUUUGCGCAAUGGGGGAAACCCUGACGCAGCAACGCCGCGUGAGUGAUGAAGGCUUUCGAGUCGUAAAGCUCUGUCAAGUGAGAAGAACCUACUUUUUGUUAAUACCAUUAAGUACUGACGGUAUCACUGAAGGAAGCACCGGCUAACUCCGUGCCAGCAGCCGCGGUAAUACGGAGGGUGCAAGCGUUAUUCGGAAUUAUUGGGCGUAAAGGGCGCGUAGGCGGUCUUUUAAGUCAGAUGUGAAAGCCCGGGGCUCAACCCCGGAAGUGCAUUUGAAACUAAGGGACUUGAGUAUGGGAGGGGAAGUGAAUUCCUGGUGUAGAGGUGAAAUUCGUAGAUAUCAGGAGGAA
rnacentral:rRNA from 1 species